GACGAACGCUGGCGGCGUGCCUAACACAUGCAAGUCGAGCGAAUGAAGUUCCUUCGGGAAUGGAUUUAGCGGCGGACGGGUGAGUAACACGUGGGCAACGUGCCUCAUAGAGGGGAAUAGCCUUCCGAAAGGGAGAUUAAUACCGCAUAAGAUUGUAGUACCGCAUGGUACAGCAAUUAAAGGAGCAAUCAGCUAUGAGAUGGGCCCGCGGCGCAUUAGCUAGUUGGUGAGGUAACGGCUCACCAAGGCGACGAGGCGUAGCCGACCUGAGAGGGUGAUCGGCCACAUUGGGACUGAGACACGGCCCAGACUCCUACGGGAGGCAGCAGUGGGGAAUAUUGCACAAUGGGGGAAACCCUGAUGCAGCAACGCCGCGUGAGUGAUGACGGCCUUCGGGUUGUAAAACUCUGUCUUCAGGGACGAUAAUGACGGUACCUGAGGAGGAAGCCACGGCUAACUACGUGCCAGCCGCCGCCGUAA
rnacentral:rRNA from 1 species